AUUUNUAGUNNGCCUAGGANANGCUGGCGGGUGCUUAAACAUGCAAGUCGAGCGAGGGAGCCCUUCGGGUGUGCACUAGCGGCGGACGGGUGAGUAACACGUGGGCACCUGCCUUACAGAGGGGGAUAGCCUUCCAAAGGAAAUAAUACCGCUAUUAUAUUUUUCUGUAUGGGAAAUCUGAAAGAGCACUCGCUGUAAGAUUGCCCCGCCCAUUACCUAUUUUGAGGUCUGGCCCACCAAGCACCAUCGUACUCACCUAAAAGUCAUCGACCAUUGGCUAACACUCCCAAACCUUUUGCGGCACAUGGAGACAUUGCCCAGGGAGAAACCCUGAUCCCAAGCCCGGAGGUUGACAGCUUCCGGAUCUAAACUUUCUUCCUACUUUUAACGUUCCAGCAGAAACCACCGCUACCACUUCCAAACCCCGGCAUCCCUAGUGGGCACGUUUUCCAUUAUCUGGGCCUAAAGAAGGGUAGCGGAAUUUAAUGGCAUGAAAAAACCGGGGCACCUCGAAG
rnacentral:rRNA from 1 species